rnacentral:rRNA from 1 species
UACGGAGGGGGCUAGCGUUAUUCGGAAUUACUGGGCGUAAAGCGCACGUAGGCGGAGCGGAAAGUUGGGGGUGAAAGCCCAGGGCUCAACCCUGGAACUGCCUUCAAAACUCCCGUUCUUGAGGUCGUGAGAGGUGAGUGGAAUUCCGAGUGUAGAGGUGAAAUUCGUAGAUAUUCGGAGGAACACCAGUGGCGAAGGCGGCUCACUGGCACGAUACUGACGCUGAGGUGCGAAAGCGUGGGGAGCAAACAGG